UGCAUUCAGGAAGUUGUUAUUGACCACAUCUCCUACCCCAUUGAGGCAGUGAGAUGCAAAAUACCUGAAGAAAAUGGCACUUAUCUUGGAGUUCAUUUAAAAAAUCCUGAACGAAGGUCGAAAAGGCUGAGAUGAAGGAAAUCAAAAGUCUACACAUUCCUCCAAAACUGCUGAAGUUCCUGUAUGAACAACUUCGAAAAACCAUAUGUUGCUAUGCUUCAGAAGACAGCAGGUGACGGCUGCUGGUGGAAAACAUCUGGCAAUGAAUAGAAUACUAUGGCAACCAACUCUAAGCUCAACAUCUCAAACCGUUUCUAUAGACAUACUGUAAAGCAAUUAUGUCAUGUCACUGAUAACUUUGUUCGGACGGACAGAUGGAUACUAUAAUGUGUAAAAUAAAGAUAUGCUGGCAACAUAAUAUAAAGCAAAUAACGAUAGCAGUAAUAAAUUGCUUUUCCUUUAUAAAGGUGACCAUAUAAAAAAAUGUUCUCCUCUCACAAUAUACAUGGCAUUCUUGACAAAAAUAAUUUGAAAACUCUUUGGCUUUGCAUAUUUGCGUCAGAAUUAACCAUGCCAGACUUUUUUGUAGGUCCUAAAAAGUAUGGCGUUUUUUAGCAUGCACACACAUUUUUGGGUCCACAUGUUGUUACAUGUGUGUCCUGGGUUUUUGGUUCAGUCCCGUGUCCCAGUUUUCCCGCUCCUUGUUGGUUUUCAGUGUUGAGUUCAUUUGCCCCAGCUGUGUCUUGUUUGCCUCUUCAUUCCUUUGUGUAUUUAAGCUCCUCUAUUGUCAGUGUUCAGAGUCGGUUAUUGUUUGUGUAAAUGUGAUGUUACCCGUGAUAAUGUGGUUUCUCUGAAUAGCCUUUGUCGUGUGCUUUCUAUUACUCAGAAGCUUAACACAUGCAGCAGUUACUGUAGAUGAAUCUGGAAUCAUACAUUUAGAUGUAAGGUUAUUUGAUUUGAGGUGCAGUCCAAAUUCUCAUGUG